rnacentral:ncRNA from 1 species
GUAAAUCAGAUGAAAAAAGACGGAAAUAAAUGAUAUUUCAAAGAGAGCUGUCAUUUGGUGAAAGGCAGUAAAUUAGUUUAUUUCAAAUCACUUUUCGAUGUGCUUAUAGCCGUUUAACUUGCGUUAAAAGUAAGAGUGUAUGAUAUCUCAUAAAAUAAGGUGGUACCGCGGUAAUUCGCCCUUAUG